CGGACGGGUGAGUAAUGUCUGGGAAACUGCCCGAUGGAGGGGGAUAACUACUGGAAACGGUAGCUAAUACCGCAUAACGUCGCAAGACCAAAGAGGGGGACCUUAGGGCCUCUUGCCAUCGGAUGUGCCCAGAUGGGAUUAGCUAGUAGGUGGGGUAAUGGCUCACCUAGGCGACGACCCCUAGCUGGUCUGAGAGGAUGACCAGCCACACUGGAACUGAGACACGGUCCAG
rnacentral:rRNA from 1 species